GGCAUUCUGAGUCAGCCCUGGGAUGGGCUGUCCCCUCGAGGGACUGCUCCAAAGAAGCCCGCCGCCUGCUCAGGCUGGGCCCUCACUCCAGGAGGGUAAGCGGGUGGGUUGGCUCUUUUUACAGGCCACCAGCUGUUGGGUCUAUGUCACUCACGAGGGAGGGCCUCUUUGGACGUUGAGGCGUGUUCUCACAUCACGGGUCACCGCCGACCAGCACCUUCCUGAGUUAGCCAAGACCCAAAGGCUGGGUGCAAUAUACGUGCCCUAACCUGGAUUUAGAUUUCCUGUCCUUCCUGGUUGGGCCUCUGUUACACACCAGAUCGUGCCGGCAAAUGCCCACACACAGCCCUCAGUCUAGUGACCGUGUGUCUCCCAAAAUGUCCCUCUGCGAUCACAGGCUCCCAAUGGGGAGAGACCAUCUGGACAGAGCCAGAGGCCACUGAAGGGACGUCCCUCGGUGGGGAAGACGCUGGCUCCAGCCACUUCAGAGAGAGGCUUCGGAAACCCAAGGAGCACUCGCCUGGUGUCAUUCAAAGGAACAUUAAAAUCGAACAGCGCCAAGUGAAUGGAAGAGAAAUGUUAUACAGCAAACCUGUGAAAGGGGUUCCCCCAGAUAAAAGCAAGGGAAAGAGGGAGAGAGAAACAGAGGCGGAGGGGGUGGGGGGCGGGCGGCAAGAGUGGAGGGGAAGAAAGGAGGAACGGGAGGGGAGUCUCAAAGCUUUCUGAGUUCACAAAGAAAGAAGGAAACAGGGUAGAGAAGAACAAAAAGGAGAAGGUGAAGUGCUUGCGCUUCGAAGUGGAAGUCACUCCAGCUCUUGAGAAAGCUGCUUGUGGGGCCGGAUGGGGCGAGUGCGUCUCAGGAUGCCAAGCAGCUCUUCUACCAAAGAGGACCCAAUCCUGCCACCCUUGGAAGCAUGAGGACUUCACAAGGCUGGGAAACGCUGACUCCAGGCUGCCUUGGGGGCAUGCAAUGGUGCCACUGCCUGGGGCCCCACGUGUAGAAGGAAGGGCUCACAUUUGGUUUCGUGCUCUGCUGUUCUUUAAAUUUUACUGACUUUUAAACAUGAGACCUGCAUUUUCAUUUUACACCUGGUCCUGAAAAUUAUGUAGCCAGUCCUGGCUGACCUUUCCAGAGGACAUUUUUGCUAGAAGGCGGGUGCAGGAAGGCAGCAGGCUGGCUCCGCUGCUGAUCGCUGUUUGCUAUCCAAAUACACGUCCCCAUGUUGUUGACUCAGCCACCAGGUAUUAGGAAGUGCGGGGCUUCCCGCCCCAGCUAGAGAGCCCGG
rnacentral:lncRNA from 10 species